UACGGAGGGUGCAAGCGUUGUCCGGAUUUAUUGGGUUUAAAGGGUGCGUAGGCGGCCCUAUAAGUCAGUGGUGAAAUACUGCAGCUUAACUGUAGCAUUGCCAUUGAUACUGUAGGGCUUGAGUACAGAUGAGGUAGGCGGAAUUGAUGGUGUAGCGGUGAAAUGCAUAGAUACCAUCAAGAACACCGAUUGCGAAGGCAGCUUACUAAACUGCAUAGACGCUGAGGCACGAAAGCGUGGGGAUCGAACAGG
rnacentral:rRNA from 1 species